AUUGAACGCUGGCGGCAGGCCUAACACAUGCAAGUCGAGCGAGCGGCGGACGGGUGAGUAAUGUCUGGGAAACUGCGUGAUGGGGGGGGAUAUCUCCUGGAAACGGUGUCUAAUACCCCAUACGCUCAGAUGUGCCCAGAUGGGAUUAGCUAGUAGGUGGGGUAACGGCUCACCUAGGCGACGAUCCCUAGCUGGUCUGAGAGGAUGACCAGCCACACUGGAACUGAGACACGGUCCAGACUCCUACGGGAGGCAGCAGUGGGGAAUAUUGCACAAUGGGCGCAAGCCUGAUGCAGCCAUGCCGCGUGUGUGAAGAAGGCCUUCGGGUUGUAAAGUACUUUCAGCGGGGAGGCGUUACCCGCAGAAGAAGCACCGGCUAACUCCGUGCCAGCAGCCGCGGUAAUUC
rnacentral:rRNA from 1 species